AUGAACGCUGGCGGCGUGCCUAAUACAUGCAAGUCGAGCGAACGGACGAGAAGCUUGCUUCUCUGAUGUUAGCGGCGGACGGGUGAGUAACACGUGGAUAACCUACCUAUAAGACUGGGAUAACUUCGGGAAACCGGAGCUAAUACCGGAUAAUAUUUUGAACCGCAUGGUUCAAAAGUGAAAGACGGUCUUGCUGUCACUUAUAGAUGGAUCCGCGCUGCAUUAGCUAGUUGGUAAGGUAACGGCUUACCAAGGCAACGAUGCAUAGCCGACCUGAGAGGGUGAUCGGCCACACUGGAACUGAGACACGGUCCAGACUCCUACGGGAGGCAGCAGUAGGGAAUCUUCCGCAAUGGGCGAAAGCCUGACGGAGCAACGCCGCGUGAGUGAUGAAGGUCUUCGGAUCGUAAAACUCUGUUAUUAGGGAAGAACAUAUGUGUAAGUAACUGUGCACAUCUUGACGUUACCUAAACAGAAAGCCACGGCUAACUCCGUG
rnacentral:rRNA from 1 species